AUUGAACGCUGGCGGCAUGCCUUACACAUGCAAGUCGAGCGGCAGCGCGGGGGCAACCCUGGCGGCGAGCGGCGCACGGGUGAGUAAUACAUCGGAACGUGUCCUUUCGUGGGGGAUAACCAGUCGAAAGAUUGGCUAAUACCGCAUGAGAUCUCACGAUGAAAGCGGGGGAUCCGAGGGUAACUUCGGGCCUCGCGCGAUUGGAGCGGCCGAUGUCGGAUAGCUAGUUGGCGGGGUAAAAGCCCACCAAGGCGACGAUCCGUAGCUGGUUUGAGAGAACGACCAGCCACACUGGGACUGAGACACGGCCCAGACUCCUACGGGAGGCAGCAGUGGGAAUUUUGGACAAUGGGGGCAACCCUGAUCCAGCCAUGCCGCGUGUGUGAAGAAGGCCUGGUU
rnacentral:rRNA from 1 species